rnacentral:rRNA from 1 species
CAAUAGCGUAUAUUAAAGUUGUUGCAGUUAAAAAGCUCGUAGUUGAAUUUCUGGCGGGCGCGCCGGUCUUCCAAGUGUUGUACUGGGCGCAGUCCGCCAUCCUUGUGGAGAGGGCUCGCAUUGAGUUGCGUGUCGGAUCUGCAUCAUUUACUGUGAAAAAAUUAGAGUGUUUAAAGCAGGCUGUCGCUUGAAUACAUUAGCAUGGAAUAAUAAGAUAGGACUUCGGUCUAUUUUGUUGGUUGCGAACCGAGGUAAUGAUUAAUAGGGAUAGUUGGGGGUAUUCAUAUUUAAUUGUCAGAGGUGAAAUUCUUGGAUUUAUGAAAGACGAACUUCUGCGAAAGCAUUUGUCAAGGAUGUUUUCAUUAA